UCCCUCUAUUCUGUCUGUACCUCAGGUCUCUUAGCUGUAAUAGAGGUGUGGAAGCAUGUCCCUUAGGGGUUGUUCUGAGUUUCCGUGGGAUUAGAGAAAUCCAUUGAGGGGCAUGCCUCAGCGGCUGCUUAGACUACCCAGCAUUCCCAUCUGAGCUUCCACUCUUCCACAUUAAUCAAAAAGAAUAUUUUCUAGUUCCUCCUAUUUGCUCAGUGCUCUGGAACGGGUUGGGGGUGAGUCUGUAGAAUACCAAGAAUCGAGGAUUCAAUUUGAAUCUUUUUUUUUCAUUUUUUAUUUAAUUUAGAAACAAGUUUGUUUUACAUGUCAAUCCCAGUCCCCUUUCCCUCCCCUCCUCCCCUGCCUCCUACUAACACCCUAUCUAUCCCAUACCAUAUCUGCUCCCCAGGAAGGGUGAGGCCUUCCAUGGAAGGUGUCUUCAGGAUCUGUCACAUCCUUUGGGAUAGGGCCUAGGCCCUUCCCCAUGUAUCUAGGUUGAAGGAGUAUCCCUCUAUGUGGAAUGGGCUCCCAAAGUCCAUUCCUAUGCUAAGGAUAAGUACUGAUCUACUACAAGAGGCCCCAUAGAUUUCCGAGGUCUCCUCACUGACACCCAUGUUCAUGGGAUCUGGAUCAGUCCCAUGCUGGUUUCCCAGCUAUCAGUCUGGGGACCAUGAGCUCCUCCUUGUUCAGGUCAGCUGUUUCUGUGGGUUUCACCAGCCUGGUCUUGACCCUUUUGCUCAUCACUCCUCCCUCUCUGUGACUGGAUUCCAGUUCAGUUCAGUGUUUAGCUGUGGGUGUCUGCUUCUAUUUCCAUCAGCUUCUGGAUGAAGGCUCUAGGAUGGUAUAUAAGUUAGUUGUCAAUCUCAUUAUCAUGGGAGGGCAUUUAAGGUAUCCUCUCCACUGUUGCUUAGGUUGUUAAUUGGUGUCAUCCUUAUAGAUCUCCAGGCAUUUCCCUAGUGCCUGAUUUCUCUUUAAACCUAUGAUGGCUCCCUCUAUUAUGGUAUCUCUUAUCUUGCUCUCCUCUAUUCUCCUCCCAACUCAACCUUCCUGCUCCCUCCUCAAUUUGAAUCUUAAAACUGCCAGAGCAGAAAGUGUUAGCUGUGACUUUUCACGUGAUCGCAACUACAGGAAGAAGUAGAGAGAGGGCAGCAAAGAGCUAUGGGGCAAAAGGGACUCUCGAGAUCAUAGAAAAGUCUUUAUCCUUUAGAAUGCUGAAUCAGGAUCCAGUAUCCCCAAGAAACCAUCCUAGUUCUCCCGUUUGCUUGCUUUGGGAGAUAGACGAGGCACCUCACCGGUCUAGUGCGUGCCUCCCAGUCUCCAAAAUGGGGACCGUCCCACCUAGCCCUAAGAGUUGCUGAGUUCUGCACCAGGGUUGCCUACAGGCAGAAGUAAAAACUAAACAAACCCUCACGCUGAAGCAGGAAGACAGGAGAGAUGAUUGGGGAGUUACAUAAAUAAGGUUGGUUUAAAUAAUAAACCAUCUGUUAUGACCAAAAUAAGGAUACAGUUUUUUGAUGGUGUGGUCAUUCUGUUUGUACCUCAGACAAUGCAACCUGAAAUGUGAGUCAAAGAGCACGUCUUUCUGUUCACUAGAUCCUGUUCAUUUUCCUGCUUCCUCUUGUACAGGCAAGACUGACUAGCUCUCAUAAUAAAGUGAGAGAGAUAUGAGUCAAAGACGAUGUAUAUCACACACUAGUAGUUCCUGUUCCUUUUCUUGCUUCCUCUGUACAGGGAAGACUAGCUCUCAUAAAAAAAAAUAAAAAAUAAAAAAGUGAGAGAAAGAGAUGUCUCUUAACCAGAAGCAUUGAAAAAAAAAAUCUCCAGGUCAGUGUUUCUCAAUCUGUGAGUCAAGACCCCCUUGGGAUUGUAAGUCAGAGAUCCUGCCUAUCAGAUAAUUGCAUUAUAAUACAUAAUAGUAGCAAAAUUACAGUUAUGAAGUAGCAACAAAAUAAUUUUCUGGUUGGGGGUCACCACAACUUGAGGAACUGUAGUAUUAAAGUGUUGUAGCAUUAGGAAGGUUGACCCCAACAUUAGAAAGGCUGGGAAUCAACUAGAGCCUAGGUGAUCCUUCAGCUUCCACCCUUCUCUGCCACAGAAGCAUUUGUUAGCCCAAAUCCCUCCAUGGGUGCACAUGAAUGAGAAACAUAACUUUGCUGUGUAAAGAUUAAUUAAAGGUCUGAGUGUUAUCACUGCAUAGCUGAAACUAUCUCAAUACAGCAACAGAAAAGAAAUGAAAAAGAAAGCAUGUUUGAUGAUAAGGAUCUAAUGUGACAGGAUUUACAGCCCAAAAGGGAUAUUAAAUUUUACAGUAUCAUUUUAUACUCACUAAAGGUUCAUUCCAUCAAAAUGAGGUGUCAUGACAUCUUAUGAAUUCAAAAUUUUAUAAAGAAAAUCUGUUUAAACAAAUAAGGAAGAGUUAGAGAGAUGAUUCCGUCAGCAAAAUGCUAGCUAUACCAGCAUGCAGAACUCAAUUUAAUGCACGGGAACCAAGUAACAAAAAGUUAAACAUGGUGCCCCAUGCUUGUAAUCCCAGGACUGAGAAGGUGAACACAGGAAGCUCCUGGGGGUGCACUGCUCAGACCACCAGCCUCCUUGGCAAGCCCCAGACCAGAGAGACAUCCUGUCUCAGAAAAAAAAAUUAUUUGUUUUGUUUUGUUUUUUUGGAAAAAAAAUUUUUAAAGUCUGUGACUCCUGAAGAAAACUAAAAGGUUCAGGCUUUAAUGCUGAUCAGCUCUACCUCUUUAAGAGACAGACCCAACCCCCUGACAACAGUCAGGGCACUCACAGUGACCUGCCAUCACCACAUCACCCACCUCGCAUUACGGCCUUCGUGAGGACUCUGCACACGCGUGGAACCUCAGUGCACAUGUGCAGUCUUCCCCUUAAAAGUUCCAACUUCUUUCUCCUCUCUCUCUCUCUGCCUCUUCUCUCUUCCUCCCUUCACUUCUCUCUGUGGCGCAUGGUGGUCAGCCAUUAACUUUGUUUCUCUUCUCUCUUACUCUCUCUACUCUGCCGGCCUCUAAUAAACUGGUUAAUGUAUUCUCUUAGUCUCAUGUCUCAUCUUGCACCCCCUUCUUCAUUUCUAAUUUAAGCAAAAGAAUAACAAAUACCACCCAAGGUUGACCUUGGCUUACACAUGCAUGUUCGAGCAUCCAUCCAUUCAUCCAUGCACACACAUGCACAUACACAAAAAAGGAAAAAGUGACAAGCACAAGGGAAGUCAAAGCGUUUGAGCAGAAAAGAAAAAUGAAAACUUCCAGGUACUGGUGGCACAUGUAUUUAAUCCCAGCACUCUGAAGGCAGAGGCAGCCAGAUCUCUGUGAGUUUGAGGCCAGCCUGGUCUAUAACUAGAGUUCCAGGGCAGGCUCCAAAGCAACAGAGAAACCCUGUCUCAAAAAAAAAAAAAAAAAAAGAAAGAAAGAAAGAAAGAAAGAAAGAAAGAAAACAUAUGAAUUUUUAAAUAUUUCUUCUAUUUACUCUUUGAAAGUUUCAUACAUGUAUAUAGUGGGGGUUUUUUUACUCAUUUUUCACUUCUAUUACCCUCUCUCAUACCCCCUCCCUCUCCUGCUGAAGCCCUUCCUCACACAAAGCCCCCCUGUGCCUUUAUGUCUUUUUAUGUAUGUGUGAGCCGCUGAAUUUUGUGUUACCUGCUCACAUAAGCAUGGCAGGAUGAUAUUUACUGGAGCAUGGGCUACUUUUCAAUAGGGGCACCGCUAAUUAGCAGUGAGUGUUAUUACUCCAAGCCUUCUCUCCAAUUUACUCUUCCAUCUUCCAAAUCCUUGGCUAUUAGAGCUUUGUUUGUCUGUUUGGACUAUUGCAACAGAAUGCAUCCAAUUGGGU
rnacentral:lncRNA from 1 species